rnacentral:rRNA from 1 species
GACGAACGCUGGCGGCGUGCUUAACACAUGCAAGUCGAACGGAAAGGCCCCUUUGGGGGUACUCGAGUGGCGGACGGGUGAGUAACACGUGAGUAACCUGCCCUUGACUUCGGGAUAACUUCAGGAAACUGGGGCUAAUACCGGAUAGGAAUCCUUGCUGCAUGGUGGGGGUUGGAAAGCUUCGGCGGUUUUGGAUGGACUCGCGGCUUAUCAGCUUGUUGGUGGGGUAGUGGCUUACCAAGGCUUUGACGGGUAGCCGGCCUGAGAGGGCGACCGGCCACAUUGGGACUGAGAUACGGCCCAGACUCCUACGGGAGGAAGAAGUGGGGAAGAUUGCACAAUGGGCGGAAGCCUGAUGCAGCAACGCCGCGUGCGGGAUGACGGCCUUCGGGUUGUAAAACGCUUUCAGCAGGGGCGAAGCUUGUGGUGACGGUACCUGAAGAAGAAGCACCGGCUAACUACGUG